CAUAUAGUUGCAUCUCCUUAAAAAAAAAAUUAAAAAAAAUGCAACAUAUAGUUGCAUCAACAACUGGUUGCAAUACAUUUUCAACACCUGGUGCUUCAACUCCUAGUUGCAAUACACAAUAUCAACACUUAGUUGCAUCAACUCCUAUCUGCAAUACAUAGUUUCAUACAUUUUCAACACCUGGUUGCAAUACAUUUUCAACACCUGGUGCUUCAACUCCUAGUUGCAAUACACAAUAUCAACACUUAGUUGCAUCAACUCCUAUCUGCAAUACAUAGUUUCAUACAUUUUCAACACCUGGUUGCAAUACAUUUUCAACACCUGGUGCUUCAACUCCUAGUUGCAAUACACAAUAUCAACACCUAGUUGCAUCAACUCCUAUCUGCAAUACAUAGUUUCAUACAUUUUCAACACCUGGUUGCAAUACAUUUUCAACACCUGGUGCUUCAACUCCUAGUUGCAAUACACAAUAUCAACACCUAGUUGCAUCAACACCUAUUAGCAAUACAUAGUUUCAUACAUUUUCAACACCUGGUUGCAAUACAUUUUCAACACCUGGUUGCAUCAACUCCUAGUAUUCGACACCUGGUUCCAUCAACUCCUAGUUGCAAUAUCAACACCUAGUUGCAUCUCAAUACAUAAUUUCAUACAUUUUCAACACCUGGUUGCAUCAACUCCUAUUUGCAAUAGUUUCAACACCUAGCUAGGUAUGGAACAUUUUAAUCUCUCUCUCUCUCUCUCUCUCUCUCUCUCUCUCUCUCUCUCUCUCUCUCUAUCUGGUCAUUGACAACGGUGCUCAGGUCACUGAAAUUUGGUAACAGGUACUAUCCCUAAUUACUGUUUUGAUAAUUACAUCUAUAGCUUUGUUUUAGUUUUUUGUCCACCUCAGUUUCCAAAUAUUGUCUUCGUCUUGUGUGGUUUUCUAAGAAACUUAGAAGUCAUCAUAUGAUUUAUGCAUUCAGAAUUGCCAAGGCUUCUCUCGUUGCAUCAGAACAUGAGAUAAGUACUUCCACAAUUUCAAAUUCCAUGCUUUGGUUUCUAAAGUGGUUGCCAUGUGUUUUACUCAAAUGGCGGCCUGUACUGUAACAUGUCUGUAGAACUGAAGCAAUGUGUUUUGAAUUUGUUUCUAGGGCUUAGCUUAUGUUCUAGCAAUGUGUUCUACUCAAUUUGUUUCUAGGGCUUAACUUAGCUUAUGUUCUCGCAAAGAAUGGUUCAUCUCUGCUUCUCUUGAUAGAUUUAUUCUGCUUUGGGAUCAGCUUCUGCAAUUAAGAUACAGUAUCAGUUCUUGUUUUGAUGACUGCAUCUAAACCUUUGUUUUAGUUUUUUGUGCACUUCAGUUUCCAAAUAUUGUCUUUGUCUUGUGUGGUUUACUAAGAAAUUUAGAAGUCAUCAUAUGAUUUAUGCAUUCAGAAUUGCCUAGGCUACUCGAGUUGCAUCAGAAUAUGAGAUAAGUACUUUCACUAUUUCAAAGGCCAUGCUCUGGUUUCUAAAGUGAUUACCUUGUGUUUUACUCAAAUGGCAGCCUGUGCUGAACAUGUCUGUAGAACUGAAGCAAUGUGUUUUGAAUUUGUUUGUAGGGCUGUCUAACUUUGUUUAUGUUCUCACAGAGAGUGGUUCAUCUCUGCUUCUCUUGAUAGAUCUGUUCUGCUUUGGGAUCAGAUGGGUAAGAAGUGCCAGUGUCUUUGCAUGUCUGUACAAAGACGGCUUGCUACAGCUAAUAAAGGUCAUGAAUACACGUGGAUUUAGAAGGUUGGGAGCUUUAUUGUUGCAUCUGUGUGAAGAGAAUCUAUGCACGGUUUAGGGGGAGAGGCUGAUGCUAGAAUGGGAGCAUGUUCUUAAAUACACAAACAAUACAAGGUGCAUUCUACAAGUGAGCUGAGAGAAACUGAAGGCAUGAGCCUGCCUGCAUCUCCUCAUCAUUGUGUCCAUUGGUUCAUUCAAGCUGGUCUAUAUAUCAAAUGAAGCACUGAGAAAUAUGCUUUUAGCGCGUGUCCUCACUUAGCUUCAUAUCAGAGUUCUCCAUGUGCAAAGAAUAAGACUGAUUCCAAUAACACAAUUAUAUUUGUUGGAAAUCUGGAUGCUAACAUUACUGAUGAUCCAGUAUGGUGAGCUAGUAAGUGAUGUGGGUUUGUUCAGUUCACAGACAGGAGCCCUGCUGCAGAGGGCUUUGCAAGGAUUAAACAAUUCUCAGCUUGGGGAACAAAAUAUCCAACUUUCUUGGGGUUGCAGUCCUUCAAACAAGCAGCAGCAGGCUCAGGCAGAUCCAAACCAAUGGAAUGCUGGCUAUUAUGGAUAUUAGCUCCGACUCAGCUUCCUAUUGUUUUUCUUUGUCCCAGUAAAUAAAUCCUUACCUGCACAUGUAUUGAACUCUGUGAGGUUGUAUGUGAUAUGCUAUAAUGCAAUUUCUAAGUGAAUUUUUUUCUUUGA